AACGUAGGAUGCAAGCGUUAUCCGGAUUUACUGGGCGUAAAGCGCGUGCAGGCGGUCUGGUAAGUUGGAUGUGAAAGCUCCCGGCUCAACUGGGAGAGGUCGUUCAAAACUGCCAGACUAGAGGAGGGUAGAGGGAGGUGGAAUUCCGGGUGUAGUGGUGAACUGCGUAGAUAUCCGGAGGAACACCAGUGGCGAAAGCGGCCUCCUGGACCGUCCCUGACGCUCAGACGCGAAAGCUAGGGGAGCAAACGGG
rnacentral:rRNA from 1 species